rnacentral:rRNA from 1 species
UACGUAGGGUGCGAGCGUUGUCCGGAAUUACUGGGCGUAAAGAGCUCGUAGGUGGUUUGUCGCGUUGUUCGUGAAAUCUCACGGCUUAACUGUGAGCGUGCGGGCGAUACGGGCAGACUGGAGUACUGCAGGGGAAACUGGAAUUCCUGGUGUAGCGGUGGAAUGCGCAGAUAUCAGGAGGAACACCGGUGGCGAAGGCGGGUCUCUGGGCAGUAACUGACGCUGAGGAGCGAAAGCGUGGGGAGCGAACAGG